rnacentral:misc_RNA from 1 species
GAUGAAGAACGUAGCGAAAUGCGAUACGUAAUGUGAAUUGCAAAUUCAGUGAAUCAUCGAGUCUUUGAACGCAAGUUGCGCCCGAAGCCAUUAGGCCGAGGGCACGCCUGCCUGGGUGUCACACACCGUUACCCUCGCGCCAACGUCCAUCGUUGGCCGCGGCGCGGGGCGUGCGCUGACCUCCCGCGAGCGGGGUCUCGUGGUUGGUUGAAAAUCGAGUUCGCGGUCGAGGGUGCCGUGAUGAAAUGGUGGAUGGGCGACGCCCGAGGCCAAUCACGCGCGACUCUGUCCGGCUCGGACUCCUGGACCCCUUCGGCGUCUCCGGACGCUCUUUGGCGAGACCUCAGGUCAGGCGGGGCUACCCGCUGAGUUUAAGCAUAUCAAUAAGCGGAGGA